UACGUAGGGGGCAAGCGUUGUCCGGACUCAUUGGGCGUAAAGCGCGUGUAGGCGGCUUGGUAAGUCCGUUCUGAAAGCCCGGGGCUCAACCCCGGGAGGCGGAUGGAUACUGUCAAGCUUGAGUCCGGAAGAGGCGAGUGGAAUUCCCGGUGUAGCGGUGAAAUGCGCAGAUAUCGGGAGGAACACCAAUGGCGAAGGCAGCUCGCUGGGACGUGACUGACGCUGAGACGCGAAAGCGUGGGGAGCAAACAGG
rnacentral:rRNA from 1 species